rnacentral:tRNA from 1 species
GUGGGUAUAGCUCAAGGGCAGUGUGCAUGCUUAGCAUGCAUGAGGUCCUGGGUUCAAUCCCCAGGACCUCCA